rnacentral:lncRNA from 1 species
GAAGACACCAAGAUGGGCACUUGGCCUCAGGCCUGGAAAAGAAUGUGUGGAGGCAGAAUAUUAACACCAGAGAGACCCAGGGGACGAAUCAGGGGUAUGUUUGACCCCAGGCUGGACAAGCAUAGGACAGUGUGAUCUGAGAGGCCACAUCACAGCUGAGUUCAAGCUCGGGCCUCAAGAACAGAGCCAGUAACAGACAGCGGCUGACUGGGAGCAUGAGGAGGCCCUGUAGCCUGCCGCAGUCAGAACAAGAGCACCGAGACUUACAUCAUAAUGCAGAUCUCUCCGCUGGCUGAUAGCUCCCCGGGCAAAAAGAAAACCUUGCCAGAAAAGCGGAAGCUCCCCUAAAGCCUCCCAUGCCCCUUCAUCUCUUCAGAAGUCACGUGGACCACGACUAAUAACCUGUGGACUGGCUUAGCUAUCAUAUCUCUAUCAUUUACACGUAUUUAUCUAUCUCUGUGUAUCUAACACCUUAUGUAAAGAGAGUAUGUAUCUGUUGGCGUCUUUUGCUCAAUAUGGUUUAUGUAAUUCAUAUUUUUGCAAAUAUCUAUAAUUCAUUUUCA